rnacentral:rRNA from 16 species
AAACCCGUGCGAUCUACCCAUGGCCAGGGUGAAGGUGGGGUAAAACCUACUGGAGGCCCGAACCCGUUAUCGUUGAAAAGAUAUGGGAUGAGCUGUGGGGAGGGGUUAAAGUCCAAUCAAGCCGGGAGAUAGCUUGUUCUCGCCGAAAUAACUUUAGGGUUAGCCUCAGAGAGCAACUGACGGGGGUAGAGCUACUGGAUGGAGAGCGGGCCCUUCCUGGGUACCC